rnacentral:lncRNA from 1 species
CUACUAACAUCAUAAAACUCAAGCAUUCAUCAAUGGCACAUUUCAAAAUUAUCCACAAUUCACAAAAUUAAGAUAUGGGUUUCGAAGAUCACGAAGCAACAAUCUCAAAAACGUAAAAAUUAUCAAAAACCGAGCUAGUUACAUACCUUAAUCAAACUCAACAAUGGCCGAACCCUUUAGCUUGUUCUUUUCUUUUACAUUCAGUUGGUAGAAAACUAAAAGAUGUUAAU